UACAGGGGGUGCAAACGUUGCUCGGAAUCAUUGGGCGUAAAGCGCACGUAGGCGGUCUGUUAUGUCGGAUGUGAAAGCCCUUGGCUCAACUGAGGAAGUGCAUCCGAAACUGGCAGGCUAGAGUACGAAAGAGGAUCGCGGAAUUCCCGGUGUAGAGGUGAAAUUCGUAGAUAUUCGGAGGAACACCAGUGGCGAAGGCGGCUCACUGGUCCGGUACUGACGCUGAGGUGCGAAAGCGUGGGGAGCAAACAGG
rnacentral:rRNA from 1 species